AGAGUUUGAUCCUGGCUCAGAUUGAACGCUGGCGGUAUGCUUUACACAUGCAAGUCGAACGGAUUUGGGGGCUUGCUCCCAAGUUAGUGGCGAACGGGUGAGUAAUAUAUCGGAACAUAUCCGGAAGUGGGGGAUAACGUAGCGAAAGUUACGCUAAUACCGCAUACGACCUACGGGUGAAAGCAGGGGACCGCAAGGCCUUGCGUCGAUGGAGCGGCCGAUGUCGGAUUAGCUAGUUGGUGAGGUAAAGGCUCACCAAGGCGACGAUCCGUAGCUGGUCUGAGAGGACGACCAGCCACACUGGGACUGAGACACGGCCCAGACUCCUACGGGAGGCAGCAGUGGGGAAUCUUGGACAAUGGGGGCAACCCUGAUCCAGCAAUGCCGCGUGUGGGAAGAAGGCCUUCGGGUUGUAAACCACUUUUGGCAGGGAAGAAAUAGCCUGUGCGAAUACCACGGGUUGAUGACGGUACCUGCAGAAUAAGCACCGGCUAACUACGUGCCAGCCGCCGCGGU
rnacentral:rRNA from 1 species